AAGUCGUAACAAGGUUUCCGUAGGUGAACCUGCGGAAGGAUCAUUAAUGAGAAAGGGCUUCAUCGCCCGGGGGCUCCGGCCCUUCCUCUCAACCCAUGUUUACCUAUCCAUCUCUGUUGCUUCGGCGGACCUUGGGGUCGUGCUCAUGCCGGCGGGGCGCCUAUUGCCCCGCUGGCGAGUGUCCGUCAGAGGCCCAUUUUUUCAACCUUGAAUUUCAGUACCGUCUGAGCAAAAACAAAAAAUCAAGCAAAACUUUCAACAACGGAUCUCUUGGUUCUGGCAUCGAUGAAGAACGCAGCGAAAUGCGAUAAGUAAUGUGAAUUGCAGAAUUCAGUGAAUCAUCGAAUCUUUGAACGCACAUUGCGCCCCUCGGAAUUCCGGGGGGCAUGCCUGUCCGAGCGUCAUUGCACCCCUCAAGCGUAGCUUGGUCAUGGGUCCAGUCCCGCGAGGGACUCACCCGAAAAACAGCGGCGGUCCGGGGGACCUUCAAGCGCAGUCGAUUUUUCAUCGCUCUGGAGCGCGUCCCCGCGGCUGGCCGGAAAAGCCCCCCAUUCUUCAAUGAUUGACCUCGGAUCAGGUAGGGAUACCCGCUGAACUUAA
rnacentral:rRNA from 1 species